rnacentral:rRNA from 1 species
GAUGAACGCUGGCUACAGGCUUAACACAUGCAAGUCGAGGGGAAACGACGGGGAAGCUUGCUUCCUUGGGCGUCGACCGGCGCACGGGUGAGUAACGCGUAUCCAACCUGCCUCUGACUGAGGGAUAACCCGUCGAAAGUCGGCCUAAUACCUCAUGGCAUCGUCUGCGGGCAUCCAACGACGAUUAAAGAUUUCAUCGGUCAGGGAUGGGGAUGCGUCUGAUUAGCUUGUUGGCGGGGUAACGGCCCACCAAGGCGACGAUCAGUAGGGGUUCUGAGAGGAAGGUCCCCCACAUUGGAACUGAGACACGGUCCAAACUCCUACGGGAGGCAGCAGUGAGGAAUAUUGGUCAAUGGGCGGGAGCCUGAACCAGCCAAGUAGCGUGCAGGAUGACGGCCCUAUGGGUUGUAAACUGCUUUUAUGCGGGGAUAAAGUGAGGGACGUGUCCUUCAUUGCAGGUACCGCAUGAAUAAGGACCGGCUAAUUCCGUGCCAGCAGCCGCGGUAAUACGGAAGGUCCGGGCGUUAUCCGGAUUUAUUGGGUUUAAAGGGAGCGUAGGCCGUGGAUUAAGCGUGUUGUGAAAUGCAGGUGCUCAACGUCUGCACUGCAGCGCGAACUGGUCCACUUGAGUGUGCGCAACGCAGGCGGAAUUCGUCGUGUAGCGGUGAAAUGCUUAGAUAUGACGAAGAACUCCGAUUGCGAAGGCAGCUUGCGGGAGCACAACUGACGCUGAAGCUCGAAAGUGCGGGUAUCGAACAGG